UCGGGCCCGAGUUGUAAUUUGUAGAGGAUGCUUUUGGUGAGGUGCCUUCCGAGUUCCCUGGAACGGGACGCCAUAGAGGGUGAGAGCCCCGUCUGGUUGGACACCGAUCCUCUGUAAAGCUCCUUCGACGAGUCGAGUAGUUUGGGAAUGCUGCUCUAAAUGGGAGGUAUAUGUCUUCUAAAGCUAAAUACCGGCCAGAGACCGAUAGCGCACAAGUAGAGUGAUCGAAAGAUGAAAAGAACUUUGAAAAGAGAGUUAAAAAGUACGUGAAAUUGUUGAAAGGGAAGCGCUUGUGACCAGACUUGGGCUUGGUUGAUCAUCCGGGGUUCUCCCCGGUGCACUCUUCCGGCUCAGGCCAGCAUCAGUUCGCCCUGGGGGAUAAAGGCUUCGGGAAUGUGGCUCUCUCCGGGGAGUGUUAUAGCCCGCUGCGUAAUACCCUGUGGCGGACUGAGGUUCGCGCAUUCGCAAGGAUGCUGGCGUAAUGGUCAUCAGUGACCCGUCUUGAAACACGGACCAAGGAGUCGUCUUCGUAUGCGAGUGUUCGGGUGUCAAACCCCUACGCGAAAUGAAAGUGAACGCAGGUGAGAGCUUCGGCGCAUCAUCGACCGAUCCUGAUGUUAUCGGAUGGAUUUGAGUAAGAGCAUACGGGGCCGGACCCGAAAGAAGGUGAACUAUGCCUGUGUAGGGUGAAGCCAGAGGAAACUCUGGUGGAGGCUCGCAGCGGUUCUGACGUGCAAAUCGAUCGUCAAACAUGGGCAUGGGGCGAAAGACUAAUUCGACCUUC
rnacentral:rRNA from 1 species